GAGUUUGAUCCUGGCUCAGAUUGAACGCUGGCGGAACGCUUUACACAUGCAAGUCGAACGGUAACGCGGAGAGAAGCUUGCUUCUCGCCGGCGACGAGUGGCGAACGGGUGAGUAAUACAUCGGAACGUGUCCGCUCGUGGGGGACAACCAGCCGAAAGGUUGGCUAAUACCGCAUGAGUUCUACGGAAGAAAGAGGGGGACCCGCAAGGGCCUCUCGCGAGCGGAGCGGCCGAUGACUGAUUAGCCGGUUGGUGAGGUAACGGCUCACCAAAGCAACGAUCAGUAGCUGGUCUGAGAGGACGACCAGCCACACUGGGACUGAGACACGGCCCAGACUCCUACGGGAGGCAGCAGUGGGGAAUUUUGGACAAUGGGCGCAAGCCUGAUCCAGCUAUUCCGCGUGUGGGAUGAAGGCCCUCGGGUUGUAAACCACUUUU
rnacentral:rRNA from 1 species